rnacentral:rRNA from 1 species
CGAACAGAGAAGGAGCUUGCUCCUUCGACGUUAGCGGCGGACGGGUGAGUAACACGUGGGCAACCUACCUUAUAGUUUGGGAUAACUCCGGGAAACCGGGGCUAAUACCGAAUAAUCUGUUUCACCUCAUGGUGAAACACUAAAAGACGGUUUCGGCUGUCGCUAUAGGAUGGGCCCGCGGCGCAUUAGCUAGUUGGUGAGGUAACGGCUCACCAAGGCGACGAUGCGUAGCCGACCUGAGAGGGUGAUCGGCCACACUGGGACUGAGACACGGCCCAGACUCCUACGGGAGGCAGCAGUAGGGAAUCUUCCACAAUGGGCGAAAGCCUGAUGGAGCAACGCCGCGUGAGUGAAGAAGGAUUUCGGUUCGUAAAACUCUGUUGUAAGGGAAGAACAAGUACAGUAGUAACUGGCUGUACCUUGACGGUACCUUAUUAGAAAGCCACGGCUAACUACGUGCCAGCAGCCGCGGUAAUACGUAGGUGGCAAGCGUUGUCCGGAAUUAUUGGGCGUAAAGCGCGCGCAGGUGGUUUCUUAAGUCUGAUGUGAAAGCCCACGGCUCAACCGUGGAGGGUCAUUGGAAACUGGGAGACUUGAGUGCAGAAGAGGAUAGUGGAAUUCCAAGUGUAGCGGUGAAAUGCGUAGAGAUUUGGAGGAACACCAGUGGCGAAGGCGACUAUCUGGUCUGUAACUGACACUGAGGCGCGAAAGCGUGGGGGAGCAAACAGGAUUAGAUACCCUGGUAGUCCACGCCGUAAACGAUGAGUGCU